rnacentral:rRNA from 1 species
GGUUGAUCCUGCCAGUAGUCAUAUGCUUGUUUCAAAGAUUAAGCCAUGCAAGUCUAAGUAUAAGCUUUUAUACGGCAAAACUGCGAAUAGCUCAUUAUAACAGUUAUAAUCCACACGAAGAUCGUUACCAAAUGGAUAUCCAUGGUAAUUCUGGAGCUAAUACAUGCAAAAACACCUGACUUCGUGGAAGGGUGGCAUUCAUUAGCAUUGGAACCAACCAGGUAGCAAUACCUGUUUUUGGUGAUCAUAAUGACCGA